CGUCUCCUACGGGGCGCAGCAGUGGGGAAUAUUGCACAAUGGGGGGAACCCUGAUGCAGCGACGCCGCGUGAAGGAAGAAGUAUUUCGGUAUGUAAACUUCUAUCAGCAGGGAAGAAAAUGACGGUACCUGACUAAGAAGCCCCGGCUAACUACAUGCCAGCAGCCGCGGUAAUACGUAGGGGGCAAGCGUUAUCCGGAUUUACUGGGUGUAAAGGGAGCGUAGGCGGCGAUGCAAGUCAGAAGUGAAAGCCCGGGGCUCAACUCCGGGACUGCUUUUGAAACUGUGUUGCUAGAUUGCAGGGAG
rnacentral:rRNA from 1 species